CCUACUUUGAACCAUAUUAUUUUAGUUUGUGCUUUCAUUCUAUUGUAGAUUGUGUGUAUCUGGGUCUGGUUUUUCUGACCAAUUUGAGUGUUGUUGAUUUGUCUGGAUUUUUUUGUACAUAUGUUUUUUUUUCUGUUCAUUGGGUGAUAUCAAAUAAAAGAAAGCUCGUGAUUUUAUUUUAUUGUUCAUUGGGGUGUAUCAUGGGAUCCGUUUAUUUCAUUUUUUUUUGUUUUUCUGAUGCAUUCUUUCUGCCUGACCAUUCAAGUAACGAAAAUAGCAUUUAUAAUUUAUUCCAUUGUUUGAAGAAGUUUAAAUAUAUUUGCGUAAAUUGGUAAGCAAUGAAUAAAUUUUGCAACUUCAGAAAGUAGACCAAUGUUAUUCAGAUUCUUUAUAUAUAUAUAUAUAUAUUCAUAUAAAUGGGGUGAUAGUCUAUAAAACCCGAGCUCACUGUGCAAGCUGAGCCAAUCAUGGACCCUUAUGGCCCUUCUAUAGUUGAUGAAAAUUUGGAAGCUAUAGUGGUCAGUAAGGAGACUUUACCAGGUGGAGUUUCAGUCAAUAAAAAGAGAGUUGAAAAAGGGCUUUCACAACUAAAGCUUAAAACAAUGGCCACGAGUACUUAUCCCCAAAAAAAUCAGAGCUCUAUCUCGCCGUUCUCCUGAAUCCGCUACUCUCUCCAUCUCGCUGUCAUCUCUUGGUUUUUCGAGGUACUCUUGCUCGUCUUUGGUGUGCGUGGCGUCGUCUCCGGUGGUGGCUGUUCUCUCAUCUUGUUAAAGGUUUGGCUGUUCUUUGACUUAGUGUUACAAAUAGCAUUUGUUUAUACUAUGUACAUUUGCUUUUGUUGAUUUGUUUAUACUAUCUAGUAUUUUACAAAUUUUUAGUAACGUACUUUAUUAGAAUAUAUAAAGCUGCUAAUGUUUCCAUUUGCACAAGUGUGGAGGUUGUGCAACUAUUGAAAUUGGUUUUGCAGCUUUUGAAUUUCAAAGCUGGGAUGAUUAGUUUUUAUCUAUUUAAAAUAGUAUAGAUUUGUUAAGGAUUAAUAUAUAUGUAAUCACUGUAACUUUGUGAUUUGGAGAGGGCUAUACAAGGGUCUCGUUAUUAGAACUUGAGAAUUUCUUUUUUUGAUGUUCUUUACAUUUUAGUCAAAUUUGCUUUACUUGAUAGGAAACAUUGGGGGGAACUAUGGUAUAUGAGUGGUUGAAAUGACGAUGGCAAUAAUAUUUUUGGCUAUGUAAGUUGGGCAUUUGGUUUUGUACAUAAUAAAACAGUCGUACACUCGUUGAUUUACUUACUGACCUCACAUGAAGCUUGUAGAGUAGUCUCUUAAAGUUAUUUUGUACAGGCAUAUUUUGUUCUUUUGUUUAUGAGCUGAUAUUUGAUAAUUUUUAUGUCUUUUGUAGGGCCUAAUUUGAAGUAAUUUGGAUAAAAUUUUUAGUUUUGUUCUCUUAGUUUUGAAUGUUGCCUACAAAAUAAUCAGACAACUCUGGAAUGAACUCUUUUUCCUUGGAUACAUAUUUGAAACCAAGAUACUGGCUAAUCGACAGUCUGCUGCUCGCUCAAAGGAGAGGAAAGCUCGCUAUAAACAGGAACUUGUGCGAAAAUUUGACUCUUCAAACAAAAGCUACAU